rnacentral:rRNA from 1 species
GAUGAACGCUAGCUACAGGCUUAACACAUGCAAGUCGUGGGGCAGCGGAUACUUAGCUUGCUAAGUAUGCCGGCGACCGGCGCACGGGUGAGUAACGCGUACCGAACCUGCCCAUCACACAGGGAUAGGCUUGCGAAAGCAAGAUUAAUAUCUGAUGGUCUCAAUUUUAUGCAUGUAUGAUUGAGUAAGGCCUUCGGGCGGUGAUGGAUGGCGGUGCGUCCCAUUAGGAAGUUGGCGGGGUAACGGCCCACCAAUCCUUCGAUGGGUAGGGGUGCUGAGAGGAUGGUCCCCCACAUUGGAACUGAGAGACGGUCCAACCUCCGACGGGAGGCAGCGGUGAGGAUUCUUGGUCAAUGGGCGGGAGCCUGAACCAGCCAAGUGGCGUUCGGGAUGAAGGCCCUUGUGGUCGUAACCCGCUUUUAUCAGUGAAUAAAGUGCACCACGUGUGGUGUCAUUGCAGGUAGCUGAAGAAAAAGGACCGGCUAAUUCCGUG